GAUGAACGCUGGCGGCGUGCCUAAUACAUGCAAGUCGAGCGAACAGACGAGGAGCUUGCUCCUCUGACGUUAGCGGCGGACGGGUGAGUAACACGUGGAUAACCUACCUAUAAGACUGGGAUAACUUCGGGAAACCGGAGCUAAUACCGGAUAAUAUAUUGAACCGCAUGGUUCAAUAGUGAAAGACGGUUUUGCUGUCACUUAUAGAUGGAUCCGCGCCGCAUUAGCUAGUUGGUAAGGUAACGGCUUACCAAGGCAACGAUGCGUAGCCGACCUGAGAGGGUGAUCGGCCACCCUGGACCUGAGACACGGUCCAGACUCCUACGGGAGGCAGCAGUAGGGAAUCUUCCGCAAUGGGCGAAAGCCUGACGGAGCAACGCCGCGUGAGUGAUGAAGGUCUUCGGAUCGUAAAACUCUGUUAUUAGGGAAGAACAAAUGUGUAAGUAACUAUGCACGUCUUGACGGUACCUAAUCAGAAAGCCACGGCUAACUACGU
rnacentral:rRNA from 1 species